GACGAGGUUGAUAGGUUUGAGGUGGAAGUGCAGCAAUGCAUGCAGCUGACGAAUACUAAUCGGUCGAGGGCUUAACCUCA
rnacentral:rRNA from 1 species